rnacentral:rRNA from 1 species
CUGAGACACGAAAGCUAGGGGAGCGAAGCAGAUUAGAGACCUGCGUAGUCCUAGCCGUAAACGAAUGUCUGCUACCUGCAUUUUCAUUGUGCCGUAAGGCACGAUAAGGUGUGGGAAAGGUAACCCGUUAAGCAGAUCGCCUGGGGAGUACUGCCGCAAGGUUAAAACUCAAAGGAAUUGGCGGGGAGGCACACAACCAGUGGAACAUGUGGUUCAAUUCGAAACGAACCGAAGAACCUCACCAGGGUUUGACAUGCAACUGCUCGUCCUAUGAAAGUAGGAUUCUUUCGAAGGUGUUGCACAGGUGCUGCAUGGCUGUCGUCAGCUCGUUCCGUGAGGAGUGCCCUUAAGUGGGACAACGAGCGCAACCCUUGUCUUGUGUUAAAUCUAUCACAAGAGACUGCCCUGAUAUUUUUAUCGGGGAGGAAGGAGAGGCAGACGUCAAGUCAGCAUGGUCCUUAUACCCUGGGCUACACACAUGUUACAAUGGGAUGCAACAACGAGCAUUGCCAGACUGCAAAGUCGAGCAAAUCUCUGAAAUCAUCCCUCAGUGGGGAUUGAGGUCUGCAACCCGACCUCAUGAACGCGGAAUUGGUAGUAAUCGCAGAUCAGCUACGCUGCGGUGAAUACGUUCUUGCCUCUUGCACACACCGCCCGUCAAGCCAACAAAGUCGGGGACACCUGAAUUUCGUAAUAUGCGGAAGAGGGUAUCGCCGGCGAUGGGGGUUAAGUCGUAACAAGGUAACCGUUCUGGAAGGAGCGGUUG